AUCUCGGAGCAGGAAACAGCAGA
rnacentral:piRNA from 1 species